UUCACUUCCUGCUGGGGAGCCAUCCCCUUCCUCAUCUCCUUGGCCUGACGUGUGCUGUUCCACACACUGCCAGUCCCUCACUUGUUCAGGCCUUCUUGGCCCCAGCUGUUCAUUUACGGAGGUCUUCAUGGCUGCCCACACCAGUUCUGUUAGUAAGAAGAAGAACUAAAGGCGACCCCAGCGGGCCCAGGAGCAACGACGAGCAACCAGACACAGUACCUGUGGAGCUGGGAGUUCACGGCCUCCCUGCCUCAGGAGCUGCUGCGUCCGUCCACCUCGAGCCUCUGGCUUCCGCCUUACCAGCUUUCAGGGUUCACGUCAUCAGGGCUAAAAAUGAGUAGACAAGAACUGGCAAAAGACAAGGACUUCAUCACAUGCCUCCCUGCACGGAAGAUACGUCUCCACUUGGCUCUUGCACUGUGGACCUUCUCCUGCAGAGCACUCAAGAUCACAAAG